CCUACGGGGGGCUGCAGUAGGGAAUAUUGGACAAUGGGCGAAAGCCUGAUCCAGCCAUGCCGCGUGAUAGAUGAAGGCCCUCUGGGUUGUAAAUAUCUUUUAUCUGGGAAGAAACAAUCUUAUUCUUAAGAUCUUGACGGUACCAGCGGAAUAAGCACCGGCUAACUCCGUGCCAGCAGCCGCGGUAAUACGGAGGGUGCAAGCGUUAUCCGGAUUCACUGGGGUGUAGGGGUGCGGAGGCGGGCUGAUUGAAAGCUCCGAGCUGAACUUGGAAACUGCCAUUGAUACUGCAAGUCUUGAAUGUCGUAGGGGUAAGCGGAAUGUUGCAUGUAGCGGUGAAAUGCUUAGAGAUGUUACAGAACACCAAGUGCGAAGGCAGCUGACUAUGCGAUGAUUGACGCUGAGGCACGAAAGCGUGGGGAGCAAACAGGAUUAGAUACCCGUGUAGUC
rnacentral:rRNA from 1 species